GAGUUGAUCCUGGCUCAGAAUGAACGCUGGCGGCGUGCUUAACACAUGCAAGUCGAACGAGAAAUUUCCUGCUUGCAGGAGAGAGUAAAGUGGCGCACGGGUGAGUAACACGUGGACAACCUACCUUCGAAUCCGGAACAACAUUGCGAAAGCGAUGCUAAUACCGGAUGAUGUCGUUUUUACCCUGGUAAUUACGACCAAAGACAGCCUCUGCUUGAAUGCUGUUGUUUGAAGAUGGACCCGCGGUACCAUUAGCUGUUGGUGGGGUAACGGCCUACCAAGGCUGCGAUGGUUAGCUGGUCUGAGAGGAUGAUCAGCCACACUGGAACUGACACACGGUCCAGACUCCUACGGGAGGAAGCAGUGAGGAAUUUUGCGCAAUGUGGAAAACCCUGACGCAGCAUCGCUGCGUGAGUGAUGAAGGCUUUUGGGUCGUAAAGCUCUGUCAGUAGGGAAGAAGUCGUUUAUGAUUAACUACUCAUAGGCGUUGACGGUACCUACAAAGGAAGCACCGGCUAACUCCGUGCCAGCAGCCGCGGUAAUACGGCGGGUGCAAGCGUUAUUCGGAAUUAUUGGGCGUAAAGCGAGUGCAGGCGGUAUUAUAAGUCAGAUGUGAAAGCCCGGGGCUUAACCCCGGAAGUGCAUUUGAAACCGCAAGACUUGAGUAUGGGAGAGGGUAGUGGAAUUCCUGGUGUAGAGGUGAAAUUCGUAGAUAUCAGGAGGAACACCGGUGGCGAAGGCGACUACCUGGACCAAUACUGACGCUGAGGCUCGAAGGCGUGGGGAGCAAACAGGAUUAGAUACCCUGGUAGUCCACGCAGUAAACGUUGUUCACUAGGUGUAGCGGGUAUUGACCCCUGCUGUGCCGCAGUUAACGCAUUAAGUGAACCUCCUGGGGAGUACGGUCGCAAGACUAAAACUCAAAGAAAUUGACGGGGGCCCGCACAAGCGGUGGAGCAUGUGGUUUAAUUCGACGCAACGCGCAGAACCUUACCUGGGCUUGACAUCCUGAGAAUUUCUACGAAAGUAGAGAGUGCCCUUCGGGGAAUUCAGUGACAGGUGCUGCAUGGCUGUCGUCAGCUCGUGUCGUGAGAUGUUGGGUUAAGUACCGCAACGAGCGCAACCCCUAUCUUUAGUUACCAUCAUUCAGUUGGGGACUCUAGAGAUAAUGCCCCGGUUAAACGGGGAGGAAGGUGGGGAUGACGUCAAGUCCUCAUGGCCUUUAUAUCCAGGGCUACACACGUGCUACAAUGGACUAGACAACGGGUCGCAAGCCGGUGAGGGGGAGCAAAUCCCAAAAAGCAGUUCUCAGUUCGGAUUGGAGUCUGCAAUUCGACUCCAUGAAGUUGGAAUCGCUAGUAAUCGUGGAUCAGCAUGCCACGGUGAAUACGUUCCCGGGCCUUGUACACACCGCCCGUCACACCACGAGAGUUGAUUGUACCAGAAGUCGUUGGGCUAACCCUUCGAAGGGAGGUGGGCGCCUAAGGUAUGGCUGAUAAUUGGGGUGAAGUCGUAACAAGGUAGCCGUUGGGGAACCAGCGGCUGGAUCACCUCCUUUCU
rnacentral:rRNA from 1 species